GCAUCGGAGGUUCAGUGGUAGAUUACUCGCCUGCCACGCGGGCGUUACGGGUUCGAUUCCCGGACGAUGCA
rnacentral:tRNA from 1 species